UGGGAACGUGCCCAAAGGUACGGAACAACUCCGGGAAACUGGAGCUAAUACCGUAUGUGCCCGAAAGGGGAAAGAUUCAUCGCCUUUGGAUCGGCCCGCGUCUGAUUAGCUAGUUGGCGGGGUAAUGGCCCACCAAGGCGACGAUCAGUAGCUGGUCUGAGAGGAUGACCAGCCACACUGGGACUGAGACACGGCCCAGACUCCUGCGGGAGGCAG
rnacentral:rRNA from 1 species